GACGAACGCUGGCGGCGUGCCUAAUACAUGCAAGUCGAACGAACCGCGACUAGGUGCUUGCACUUGGUCAAGGUGAGUGGCGAACGGGUGAGUAACACGUGGGUAACCUACCUCAUAGUGGGGGAUAACAGUCGGAAACGACUGCUAAUACCGCAUAGGACAUAGGAUCACAUGAUUCUGUGAGGAAAGGUGGCGCAAGCUAUCGCUAAGAGAUGGACCCGCGGUGCAUUAGCUAGUUGGUAGGGUAAAGGCCUACCAAGGCGAUGAUGCAUAGCCGACCUGAGAGGGUGAUCGGCCACAUUGGGACUGAGACACGGCCCAAACUCCUACGGGAGGCAGCAGUAGGGAAUCUUCCGCAAUGGACGCAAGUCUGACGGAGCAACGCCGCGUGAGUGAAGAAGGUCUUCGGAUCGUAAAGCUCUGUUGUUAGAGAAGAACAGCGCAUAGAGUAACUGUUAUGCGUGUGACGGUAUCUAACCAGAAAGCCACGGCUAACUACG
rnacentral:rRNA from 1 species